UGUUCUCUGGGGUGUUUGCCAGCAUGUGCAUGUCCCUGAGCCGAUACCGUUAGACCAGGGUCCUGUCGAGCUACCAGUGCGCAAGCCCACCAUGCAGUGGGAAGCCUGCGGUAGUUUGUUCAGCACCCGCCUUGAACCUUUGGGUUCAAGGGCUACCACGAUGCAGCGGCACCUUGGAGAACAC
rfam:Idiomarina sp. A28L contig00004, whole genome shotgun sequence.